rfam:Schistosoma rodhaini strain Burundi genome assembly, scaffold: SROB_scaffold0000258
GAAGAGGUGGCCGAGUGGUUAAGGCAAUGGAUUGCUAAUCCAUUGGGGUUUUCCCGCGUGGGUUCGAAUCCCAUCCCCGUCG